GAGAGCCCGUUGCGUUGAAAGGCGCACGGCGGGUUCGGCGGGCGGUCCGGGGAAACGGAGCAGCAGCAAUGCCGCCACCGGCCCCCGGACCGACCCAAC
rnacentral:ncRNA from 1 species